GGUUUUACCCAGUUACUCAA
rnacentral:misc_RNA from 1 species